CGAACGGGUGAGUAACGCGUAGGCAACCUGCCCUCCGCCGGGGGACGAACACGUCCCAAAGGGGUGCUAAUACCGGAUACGAAGUCUGUGCCGCAUGGUACGGAUUUGAAAGAUGGCCUCUAUUUAUAAGCUAUCGCCGGGGGAUGGGCCUGCGUCCGAUUAGCUGGUUGGUGGGGUAACGGCCUACCAAGGCGACGAUCGGUAGCCGGUCUGAGAGGAUGAACGGCCACAUUGGGACUGAGACACGGCCCAGACUCCUACGGGAGGCAGCAGUGGGGAAUCUUCCGCAAUGGGCGCAAGCCUGACGGAGCAACGCCGCCGUGAGUGAGGAAGUUCUUCGGAACGUAAAGCUCUGUUGUUCCUGACGAACCUCCCUUCUAUCAACAACGGAGGGGACUGACGGUAGGGAACGAGGAAGCCACGGCUAACUACGUGCCAGCCGCGGC
rnacentral:rRNA from 1 species